rnacentral:pre_miRNA from 2 species
AUGUAGGGCAAUCUGUCUUUAAGUAGGGAUAAAUUACUCUAAAAGAAAUGAAUCCUAGAUAGUUUUCCCUUCAAGUCAAGUGUCUUGU